GAUUAACGCUGGCGGCGUGCAUAACACAUGCAAGUCGAACGAUGAAACUUUAAUGAACCCUUCGGGGAGAAUUAAAGCGGAUUAGUGGCGAACGGGUGAGUAACGCGUGAGUAACCUGCCUUACACAAGGGGAUAGCCUUUGGAAACGAAGAAUAAUACCCUAUAAAACCAUAAAAGCACAUGCAAUUAUGGUCAAAGUGAUAGCGGUGUAAGAUGGACUUGCGUCUGAUUAGCUAGUUAGUGAGAUAAAAGCCCACCAAGGCAACGAUCAGUAGCCGGCUUGAGAGAGUGUACGGCCACAUUGGGACUGAGACACGGCCCAGACUCCUACGGGAGGCAGCAGUGGGGAAUUUUGCACAAUGGGGGAAACCCUGAUGCAGCGACGCCGCGUGAUUUAGAAGGCCUUCGGGUUGUAAAAAUCUUUUGUAUAGGAAGAAAAUGACAGUACUAUACGAAUAAGGUCCGGCUAAUUACGUG
rnacentral:rRNA from 1 species